rnacentral:rRNA from 1 species
GAUGAACGCUGGCGGCGUGCCUAAUACAUGCAAGUCGAGCGAACAGACGAGGAGCUUACUCCUCUGACGUUAGCGGCGGACGGGUGAGUAACACGUGGAUAACCUACCUAUAAGACUGGGAUAACUUCGGGAAACCGGAGCUAAUACCGGAUAACAUGUUGAACCGCAUGGUUCAACAGUGAAAGACGGUCUUGCUGUCACUUAUAGAUGGAUCCGCGUCGCAUUAGCUAGUUGGUAAGGUAACGGCUUACCAAGGCAACGAUGCGUAGCCGACCUGGGAGGUGGUAGGGCACACCGGAAAUGGAACACCGGCCCGACCCCCACGGGGGGGCACAGUAGGGGAAUUUUCCGAAAGGGGGGAAGCCUGGAGGGGCAAACGCGGGGGGGGGAAAAAAGUUUUUGGGUCUGAAAACCCUUUUUUUAGGGGAAAAAAAAAGUGGAAAGAAACGUGGCCCGCUUGACGGGACCUUAUCAGAAAACCACGGCUAAAUUCGUG